UACGUAGGGGGCAAGCGUUGUCCGGAUUUAUUGGGCGUAAAGAGCGUGUAGGCGGUUUGGUAGGUCCGUUGUGAAAACUCGAGGCUCAACCUCGAGACGCCGAUGGAAACCAUCAGACUAGAGUCCGGAAGAGGAGAGUGGAAUUCCUGGUGUAGCGGUGAAAUGCGCAGAUAUCAGGAAGAACACCGAUGGCGAAGGCAGGUCUCUGGGCCACUACUGACGCUGAGAAGCGAAAGCGUGGGGAGCGAACAGG
rnacentral:rRNA from 1 species